ensembl:lncRNA
GCAUGUGGUCUUAAAUUCUCUACAACAACAUAAGCCUGUGUUCAGACCGGAGCACUGCUUUAUUUCAGAUAUGUGCUUUGUGGCUCCAUGCCAGAAAAUAUGCCAAGGCGUGCUGUGGAGGUGAACACAUCCCUCUGAGGAAACGUAGCUGAGGCUGGUGGACACCUGUGAGGCAGUUGUCUAAUGGCUGAGGGUCGGGGUUGUGACACAACGUGCUUUGCUCCCACAUCAUCCUGUGCUCUUGCUGCAGCUCUGACACUGGAGGUACAGAUCAGCCUCAGCAGGGCACAUCCCAGGCUGAAUGCAAAGGGUGUGCGUAAGCAGUGGUCGGCCUCCAACUGCAAUGUUGUCAGGAAGCACUCAUGGUGGGAGAGGUUACAGAGUGAGACUGUGUUAGAGUCCCUGUGAAAAAGCCUUUACUCUGCUUAUCUGGAGUGAAAGCUCCCAGGAUGCCCUCAGCACUGAAAAAUAUGAGCUGUGCAGCUUCCCGUGGUGUGGCAUUAAGAAGCAAAGAGCCCUGGCCCUCUGCUCCCAUACACCUUUUGGAGAGCUGCUCCUCAGAGCUGCUAGCUGACAUGAUCCUGCCUGUUCUCAUCACACCAGCAGCUUUAGCUUCCUAAAGAUUAGUGCAACGUGUAUUGAGUUCAGAGAAAAAGUUAGGUACUGAUGUGAUAUUCCCAAUGAUGUAAGUGGCCAAAGGCUCAGUGGACAAAGCACAUGGCACAGUAGCAUGUGGAAAGGCUGACUUUUUGACUCAAAUAUUUAUCAACUUGUAAAGGAAAUUGGGCAAGCAGUUCACUUAGGAGAAGCAGAACCAAAAGGAAAGCUCUUAGCUUUCCCCUUUGCACAUACUGUUUCUCCAGAGAAGCUGUGGUGAUCCUGCAAAAUUUGACAAGGAGGGUGUAACAAGUCCUUCCCUAUUUUCUGGAAAUCCCACCCUCUUGCCACAGCUUAUCUGAAGUUUCUAUUUUGCACGUUGGUAUUUGUGCACUUUCCAGUGAGCCUUCUGUUUUCUGCUGUAAACCAGCCUGCUAACUAAAUCCAUCAUAUGCUUCCUUUUCUUUGGAGCACAAUGUUUCCACUGUUGUUUUUUUGCUUGUUGCUUUGCUUUCCCUGAAAUCAUUGGAAGGCUAAAUAGAGCGAUUUGGGGAUCUUCUUUUUUUCCUUUUUUUCCAGCUUAGAAAAGCAUCUCAAUUGGCUGAUUGCUACAAAACAGGUUUUGUGUGUUUUUAUAUAUGAUGUGUCUUUAGUAAAGCUCAUUAUUUUUCUAUGGGAAAACAGAAGAAUCAGAGAGAAGACCUCCUUCCAGUAUUGUUUUAUCUGUGCCUCGUUUUGAGACAUUUGCAAAGCAAAUGUUGUCUUACUGCAACAAUUGAUCAUGGAAAAGAUUGUGUGUCUUUGCAUGUUAGGCCAAAAUGUUCCAUAAGUUUAAGUAGUGUAAGAUCUCUCAGUAAAGGAAGGUAAGCUAGCAACUAUUGGUCAAAUAUAUAUCAAUUAACUAUUUAGAAUUAGAUGCAUAUAGUGUGCCCACACGAACAUGCUUUGAUAUAAUUGAAAGCCUGAUUUUUUUCUUAGAUUUGAACCCUUUUUACAGUUUUGAGCUUAGUGCCAGGGCCUGCAAAUAUGGAGUCCUGAGUUUAUGACCCACUGAAGAGGAAGCCUAGCUUGUGGUUAGCGGAUAAGCAAGUGGUGGAAGACCUGACUGCCAAUCCUGAUUUUGUCACUAACUCAUUGCAUGAUCUUGCGUAAGGAAUUCAGGCUUUGCCACAAUUUCCCUUUCAGGAAAGGGGGAAGGAUUUAGUAGUUUCACAGUAAUGGUUCUUUUUACCAACUCUUCUGGAAACUAUGGAGUAGGUUUAAAGAUAAUAGGAUGAAAUGGUAUUUCUAUUUUGUUCUGAGUCAUUAAAGAGAAUUCCAUUUAUUGUAAUCAUCCCCCUCUUUUCACCCCCAGUCAAGAGAGCUAAAUAUCUCCUAUAUUUCAAAUAAAAAUUUAUAUUCUC